AGCAGCCGCGGUAAUUCCAGCUCCAAUAGCGUAUAUUAAAGUUGUUGCAGUUAAAAAGCUCGUAGUUGAAUUUCGGGAUCAAUAUGUCGGUCGUGCCUUCGGUACGUACUGGCAUCAUUGAUUUCUCCCUUCUGACGAACCACGAUGUCAUUAAUUUGGUGUCAUGGGGAGUCAGGACUGUUACUUUGAAAAAAUUAGAGUGUUUAAAGCAGGCUCACGCUUGAAUACAUUAGCAUGGAAUAAUGAAAUAGGACGUUUGACCCUAUUUUGUUGGUUUCUAGGAUCAACGUAAUGAUUAAUAGGGAUAGUUGGGGGCAUUAGUAUUCAAUUGUCAGAGGUGAAAUUCUUGGAUUUAUUGAAGACUAACUACUGCGAAAGCAUUUGCCAAGGAUGUUUUCAUUAAUCAAGAACGAAAGUUAGGGGAUCGAAGACGAUCAGAUACCGUCGUAGUCUUAACCAUAAACUAUGCCGACUAGGGAUCGGAUGAUGUUAAUUUUUUAAUGACUCAUUC
rnacentral:rRNA from 2 species